AAUUCUCUUAUCAAAAGAUCUGUUUGGAUUUCCUUUAAAAACUUUUGUUUUUGUUAUUGUUUUUUUUUCUUUUAUUGACUUAAGUUUGACAGCGCAACUGGUAUUUUUUCCAAAUUUUCAUCAUAUGGAUCAGAAAUUGAGUUGUUGAACAAUUCCAAGAGUUAAGAUGUGUUUUAUUAUAGUGAGAUGAUUUGUUUUUGGUGAAUGUUUUUAUUUUUUGUGUGAAUAUUUACACCCAUACCUGCAAUUUUGUGAUUCUUAAGGUUAGUUAAAAAGAUAAUGUUCUUUAUUAAUAAAAUGCAUAUAGAAUAUGU
rnacentral:misc_RNA from 1 species